CAGCCGCCGCGGUAAUACCGGCGGCCCGAGUGGCGGUCACUAUUAUUGGGCUUAAAGCGUCCGUAGCCGGGUUGGGAAGUCCUCCGGGAAAUCUGGCCGCUUAACGGUCAGAAUGCCGGAGGAUACUCCCAGCCUAGGGAGCGGGGGAGGCCGAGGGGAUUCCCGGAGGAGGGGGGAAAUCCUAUAAUCCCGGGAGGACCACCUGUGGCGAAGGCGCUCGGCUGGAACGCGUCCGACGGUGAGGGACGAAGGCCAGGGGAGCAAACCGGAUUAGAUACCCGGGUAGUCCUGGCUGUAAACGAUGCGGACUUUGUGUCGGACAAGCUAUGAGCUUGUCCGGUGCCGGAGGGAAACCGUUAAGUCCGCCGCCUGGGGAGUACGGCCGCAAGGCUGAAACUUAAAGGAAUUGGCGGG
rnacentral:rRNA from 1 species